UACGAAGGGGGCUAGCGUUGCUCGGAAUCACUGGGCGUAAAGCGCACAUAGGCGGAUUGUUAAGUCAGGGGUGAAAUCCUGGAGCUCAACUCCAGAACUGCCUUUGAUACUGGCGAUCUUGAGUCCGGGAGAGGUGAGUGGAACUCCGAGUGUAGAGGUGAAAUUCGUAGAUAUUCGGAAGAACACCAGUGGCGAAGGCGGCUCACUGGCCCGGUACUGACGCUGAGGUGCGAAAGCGUGGGGAGCAAACAGG
rnacentral:rRNA from 1 species